rnacentral:rRNA from 1 species
UGAGGGAUCUUACGCAAUGGGGGAAACCCUGACGCAGCAACGCCGCGUGAGUGAAGAAGGCCUUCGGGUCGUAAAGCUCUGUCAGAUGGGAAGAAAUGGAUGGGGGCUAAUAUCGUCCAUCCUUGACGGUACCAUCAGAGGAAGCACCGGCUAACUCCGUGCCAGCAGCCGCGGUAAUACGGAGGGAGCUAGCGUUGUUCGGAAUUACUGGGCGUAAAGGGCGCGUAGGCGGUGAUAUAAGUCAGAUGUGAAAACCAUCGGCUUAACCGAUUGGAUUGCAUUUGAUACUGUAUCACUUGAGUUCAGUAGAGGCAAGUGGAAUUCCUAGUGUAGCGGUGAAAUGCGUAGAUAUUAGGAGGAACACCAGUGGCGAAGGCGACUUGCUGGACAUUAACUGACGCUGAGGCGCGAAAGCGUGGGGAGCAAACA